GAUGAACGCUGGCGGCGUGCCUAAUACAUGCAAGUCGAGCGAACGGACGAGAAGCUUGCUUCUCUGAUGUUAGCGGCGGACGGGUGAGCAACACGUGGAUAACCUACCUAUAAGACUGGGAUAACUUCGGGAAACCGGAGCUAAUACCGGAUGAUAUUUUGAACCGCAUGGUUCAAAAGUGAAAGACGGUCUUGCUGUCACUUAUAGAUGGAUCCGCGCUGCAUUAGCUAGUUGGUAAGGUAACGGCUUACCAAGGCAACGAUGCAUAGCCGACCUGAGAGGGUGAUCGGCCACACUGGAACUGAGACACGGUCCAGACUCCUACGGGAGGCAGCAGUAGGGAAUCCUCCGCAAUGGGCGAAAGCCUGACGGAGCAACGCCGCGUGAGUGAUGAAGGUCUUCGGAUCGUAAAACUCUGUUAUUAGGGAAGAACAUAUGUGUAAGUAACUGUGCACAUCUUGACGGUACCUAAUCAGAAAGCCACGGCUAACUACGUG
rnacentral:rRNA from 1 species